CUUGCCUGCUGCAUGUCCCUGACAACUCAGUGUCUCUGGGUCUCAAUUUCUUCCUGUGUUAGAGAAAAAGCAGGACAGGUAACGUAGCCACCCUGCCAGGCACCAUGAGUCUGCUGCACACAGAUGCUUCAAGUCAUGGAGAUCACAGGCUGCUGAGGACUGAGCUUGUGCCCAGAGUCCCCUGACCAGCUACGGGAUUUCCUGCCUGCUCUCCGUGCCUCAGUUUCCUCAUCACUCAAAUGGAUCAAAGACGAUCUAGUGUUCCAGCAUUGAGAGAGACGACAAAACGCUCAGGGACAGUUGGAAGCCGCUGCCCGGGUCAGCAAGGCCAAAACCAGCAGGAAGCACCGGGCAGUGCGGCACUCUAGUCAAGAAAGGACAGCCUACCGCCCCGCGCUGGAGGGAAGGUAGGGACUCCGGAAGGGGAUGGUGGCAAUCUGCUGUAGAAGCCAGUGCCUCCAGCCACCUGGGGUUGACCCUGAGGAAAGCCUCUGCCUUUGCAAUCCUGAAGUCAAGGGGGGAAACGAAGACCCGGCGAAAGCUGAAGGGUCUGGAGGAGGAAAGAGUUUCCUGGUCUCCUGGGGAGGAGGCCGAAAGGCUCAUGCGGCGACCAGAGAGCCCAGCUCGGCUCCGAAUUUUCACUUCGUGGCGGCCGGUGAAGAACUGAACAACAAACAUUUUUUUAAAAAAAGACUAAGUGAGGCCAGGCCGCCAAGAUUAGUCCUGCGGUGUCGAGAUCGCCUGGCCCGCGCAGGGGUGGUGCGCCCUCCCCUAGCGUAAUGGCAUCCGCCCGGGCUCUCCAGGUUUCGGGGUUUCUUGAUGAGUGUCUGCUUGGGAGGCAGCGGGAGCAGAGACCCCCCCCCCCCCCCCGCCCAGAGAAGUCCUCUCACCCCGAGCCGGUUUGCAAACUCGAACGUGUGCCAGGGCGCCCUGCGUUGGGUGAUAGCCAGGGGCAGCGUGGAACCAGCGCGAGAGUCCGCCCCCCUCGCGAUGCCCUCGGGCAGUGUGCCCGGGGCGGGGGUGGGGCGCGGUGGGGGUAGAGGGCCGCGCGGGCCCAAGUUCCGAAAUCCACCCAGACUGUAUAACUUAUCGACUGUGACUUUUUUCUCUCUUUCUAAAGUGCGGGCUAAUUUGACAAGAUCGGUUCUCCGCGCCUUGACAAUUCUUGUCUCCAGCCGCGGAAUUGCGGGGGGUGGGCGCAGGUACCCCUUGGAGGCCUUGCCACCUGAGGCCCCAAGGUGCCUCCCAGAACCUCAGGCCCGCGUGCCUGGUGGGGGUGCAGCGGGGUCCAAAUGGGAGUUCGAUGUUUGGCUUCUGGGCACGGUGUUUUCAGUCUCUCGCGUGUUUAACUGGAUUUGAUACAUAUUUUCACUCUUCUCACGUUUCCUCUCCGAAUCUACCCUUCCGCCUGGAGCGCCUCUAAUCCCCGCGAAUCUCAGGCGGGGCGCAGCGAGCGAUUGCGGUUGAGGACACGUUGGGGACGCGGCUGAAGCGUCCGGGGAAGCGAGCGGCCGCGGGGAGUCAGCGAGCCGGGUCUGCAACUCAGUACCUGCCACAGCCAAUGCCUCUGCGGAUCUCCGGGCAACUGGUGUCUCAGCUGCCUACCUUCCCGCCCACUGCUCGGGAAUCUCCUUCGAAGGAAGUCUGAGUAAAAGAAGCAGAUCUACUGUGUAAAAUAAACAGAUCUACUUCGGAGUCAGAUUUGUUCUUCCCUAUUACAGAACAGUGAUGAGGCAGAGAACUAGGGUGUAAUUUGUUUGCCCCUCCUCCCACCCCAGGGAAUGUGUUUCCACCCAGGCCAUUGGAGCCCAGAACCCCGCUUGGAACCUCCUGGAGGACAGUGAUUGGCACCCGGACAGCACCCAAUCCAGGGAGGCACAUCUUGAAGUUUUAAGGAAAAUCGGACUUGUCCCAGCAUGUCCCAGUCCCACCCACUUGCUAUUUCCCUUUAUGAGUUUAAUUUUGAAAUUGCUGGGUGACGCCAACAACAUUCGUCCCCGGAAGCACUUUUAUUAGAACUGAAAUCUUCCAAGCUUGCAUUGACUACUUUAAGACUCUGCGGACGGUAAUGAAUAUGGAUGGCCGGAAGUUUCCUAUGAAUAUGGAGGAGUGGGUGGGGGCAUGUGGCGGAUGGAUUACUCUUUCACAUUAACCACUGGUAACCUUUCCUCCUGUCUGACUUCCCCUGCAAUAUUAUCCUGAGAAGGGUCAGCCCUAAAUGCUUUUUUGCAAAACACGAUUAGUCACUUUUGGCCACAUGUGCUUGCCCCAGACCUUAUUUGCCAUCCUAUAUAAUUAUUAGAGGAUCUUCUAAUUUUAUUUGAAAUUCCAAGUUGACACAUGGGUCAAAGUGCCUUGACCCAGCAUUGUGUUUAAUUUCUCUUUUGUUAGCCUCAUUUGGGCUGCUAAAGAAUUACACUCAAAGGAAUCAUUUACCCUGUUCACUUUCUCAUUGCCACGGUUACCUGUUGGAGCUGUGAAUCACAGCCUUGAGGAUUCCCUAUGAGAAGGUCCUGUGCCUAUUCUCCGUCACAGGUACACGUGAGGGCCUAUCUAGGUGGCUUGGUCAUAGCUUGAAACUACAGGUCAUGGUGUUUAGAGCUCGUUUUGCACCUGCUGUUCCCUCUGUCUACAAUGCUUUUGCCUUCUCUUCAUCUGCUUGGUGAACUCCCUCUGAUUGCACAUAUAUAAUUUUUUAAAUUGAAGUAUAGUUGAUUUACCAUGUUAUGUUAAUUUCAGGUAUAUAGCAAAGGAAUUCAGUUAUAUAUAUUAUUAAAUUUUUUUUUGAU